AGGUAGCGCCUCGUGAAUUCAUCUCCGGGGGUAGAGCACUGUUUCGGCUAGGGGGCCAUCCCGGCUUACCAACCCGAUGCAAACUGCGAAUACCGGAGAAUGUUAUCACGGGAGACACACGGCGGGUGCUAACGUCCGUCGUGAAGAGGGAAACAACCCAGACCGCCAGCUAAGGUCCCAAAGUCAUGGUUAAGUGGGAAACGAUGUGGGAAGGCCCAGACAGCCAGGAUGUUGGCUUAGAAGCAGCCAUCAUUUAAAGAAAGCGUAAUAGCUCACUGGUCGAGUCGGCCUGCGCGGAAGAUGUAACGGGGCUAAACCAUGCACCGAAGCUGCGGCAGCGA
rnacentral:rRNA from 1 species